AGAGUUUGAUCCUGGCUCAGGAUGAACGCUAGCUACAGGCUUAACACAUGCAAGUCGAGGGGCAGCAUGGUCUUAGCUUGCUAAGGCCGAUGGCGACCGGCGCACGGGUGAGUAACACGUAUCCAACCUGCCGUCUACUCUUGGACAGCCUUCUGAAAGGAAGAUUAAUACAAGAUGGCAUCAUGAGUCCGCAUGUUCACAUGAUUAAAGGUAUUCCGGUAGACGAUGGGGAUGCGUUCCAUUAGAUAGUAGGCGGGGUAACGGCCCACCUAGUCUUCGAUGGAUAGGGGUUCUGAGAGGAAGGUCCCCCACAUUGGAACUGAGACACGGUCCAAACUCCUACGGGAGGCAGCAGUGAGGAAUAUUGGUCAAUGGACGAGAGUCUGAACCAGCCAAGUAGCGUGAAGGAUGACUGCCCUAUGGGUUGUAAACUUCUUUUAUACGGGAAUAAAGUGAUCCACGUGUGGAUUUUUGUAUGUACCGUAUGAAUAAGGAUCGGCUAACUCCGUGCCAGCAGCCGCGGUAAUACGGAGGAUCCGAGCGUUAUCCGGAUUUAUUGGGUUUAAAGGGAGCGUAGAUGGAUGGUUAAGUCAGUUGUGAAAGUUUGCGGCUCAACCGUAAAAUUGCAGUUGAUACUGGAUAUCUUGAGUACAGUUGAGGCAGGCGGAAUUCGUGGUGUAGCGGUGAAAUGCUUAGAUAUCACGAAGAACUCCGAUUGCGAAGGCAGCUUACUAACCUGUAACUGACAUUGAUGCUCGAAAGUGUGGGUAUCAAACAGGAUUAGAUACCCUGGUAGUCCACACGGUAAACGAUGAAUACUCGCUGUUUGCGAUAUACUGUAAGCGGCCAAGCGAAAGCGUUAAGUAUUCCACCUGGGGAGUACGCCGGCAACGGUGAAACUCAAAGGAAUUGACGGGGGCCCGCACAAGCGGAGGAACAUGUGGUUUAA
rnacentral:rRNA from 1 species